rnacentral:rRNA from 1 species
UACGUAGGGCGCAAGCGUUGUCCGGAAUUAUUGGGCGUAAAGAGCUCGUAGGCGGCUUUUCACGUCGGGUGUGAAAGACCGGGGCUUAACCCCGGUUCUGCAUUCGAUACGGGCUAGCUAGAGUGUGGUAGGGGAGAUCGGAAUUCCUGGUGUAGCGGUGAAAUGCGCAGAUAUCAGGAGGAACACCGGUGGCGAAGGCGGAUCUCUGGGCCAUUACUGACGCUGAGGAGCGAAAGCGUGGGGAGCGAACAGG